rnacentral:misc_RNA from 1 species
UUGUGAGAGCGUGUGUGUGUGUGUGUGUGUGUGCGUGUUUGGUGUCUGUUAUGGGUGUGUGUGGGCGCGAGUGACUUGAACUUGAUUUCCGCGGGUGGGCGAACGCGUUUUGCAUAAAUUUUCAACUCCACCCUGGUUGGUCGAAUGUUGAUAUGGUAAAACCAAAGUCGGGCGGAGGAAAAAAAAUCCUUGCUUCCCAAUUAAUUUGAUAUAUCUUUGAAAUCGGAAAAGAGGUAAAUAAGACCAUUAAGGAAAUUGAAACAAAAGCAAAAAAAAAAAACGAAAAAUGUCAGGAUGAUUUAACCCCCCCACGACAGACCCUUAAUGAAUGUGUGUGUUCACUUUGUGCGAUAGUAUCAAGUUAAAGGAUGGCUGAUAGCCGAGCUGGUCAGCAUCACUCGUCGUCACAGCAUCAGUCGUCUGCUCUGCUGACGCCCAGUAACGCCAUCAAGCAAUUAGAGUAUCCGACCGAUCACAAACUCUUUCAGUCUAUCCGACGCCAGUUGAACGGUUAUGAUCAACAUCACCAUCACCACCAUACUCACAAUCCGGUACUUUGGAUAAGAGAAUUCCUGACACUCGGCGGCUGGGAUUACCUGCUGGAUGCCCUGAAAUUUCACAGCCAAAAUUCGGGCAAAAAUGGUUGGCAUCAAUUGAAUAAGCGCCAGGUGGACGACGACAGCAGUAAGACCAUCAACUGGACGUGGCUGCAGAUCGAGUGCGCCGACACGAUACGCAGCGUCAUGGAUUCGCGCAUCGGGCUCGACUACAUCGUCGAGAACCGCGAGUAUGUGGCCAAAUUGGCCUCGGCCCUCGACACGGCCAACACCACCGUCAAGAAACAAGUCUUCGAGCUCCUCUCGGCCCUCUGCGUCUACAAUGCCGACGGCUACUCCCGCACGCUCGAUGCUCUCGAGCACUUCAAGAACCUCAAAGGUGAUCGUUACCGUUUCGCCGUUGUGGUGCGGGAGCUGCGCGACGCCCCGACAGUCGAGUACAAGACAGCUCUGGUGGCAUUCAUCAACUGCAUCAUCAUCUCGACUCCACAGCUCAAGGAUCGCCUCCGCAUCCGCAACGAGUUCGUCGGCCUCAAACUUCUGGCAACGCUCAACGAGCUGAAAAACGAGGCGGCCUCCGACACCGAUCUGGCGGUCCAGAUUGACGUCUUCGACGAGCAGCGGGAGAGCGACGAAUCUCAAUUGCAAGGUCCUGACGGAGUGGACUUGAGUUCUCACUUGGAUGUUUUCCACGCCAUCCUGCGCCAGGUGGUGGACACACCCCAGGAGAUCCCGUUCCUGUCCAUUUUGCAGCAUCUGCUCAGGAUCGACCCCAAGGAAGCCGUUUCCGAUGUGGUGUGGGACACGGCGGAAACGCUGGUCCAUCGAGCCUCCCUGAUGGAGUCGAAGGAAGAGCUGACGCGCCUGUUACGCAGUCCGUCCCACGCUAAAAUGUCGCACCGUGACGAACCCGGCAGUGGUAGCAAGUCACGCAAGCAGUCGCUCAACCUGACCCUAUCACCGGCGGGUGAUGGCAGCCGGACCCCCGCUGGACUCCUGUCGCCGAUGAAUGGGCCGCCACCUCCUCCACCUCCGCCACCACCUCCAGGUGGAAUUCCGCAUCCGCCUCCUCCGCCGCCUCCAGGUUGCGGUCCACCACCUCCUCCGCCUCCGCCACUCUUGCCCGGCUCGGCUGGUCCUCCGCCACCACCCCCUCCGGGUCUAGGAGGUCUGACUCCACCCGCACCGCCCGCUCCGGCCGUUCAUCCGGAUUUGAAGGACUUGCGCUUACCACAAUUAGAUAUUCCUCGACCCAAAGCCAAGAUGAAGACGCUCAACUGGGUCAAGUUGCCAGACAUCAAGAUUUUCAGCCGUUCGAAUAUUUGGACAACUGUGGCCAAGUCACACCAGAAAUCGCCCAUGGCCGAUUUGGACUGGGCGGAGAUGGAGGGCCUGUUUUGCCAGCAGCCAGCGCCGGGAACUCCGUCAUCAGGUGGAGUCAAAGGAUUGGCCAACGGAACGCCCAACGGUAGCCUCCUGGGUACUCCCAACACUCCGGACACGGAGCGUAGGCGCAAGGAGACGACCGAAGUGUCUCUGCUGGACGGCAAACGGAGUCUCAACAUCAACAUCUUUUUGAAGCAAUUCCGGUCGACCAAUGCGGAAAUUGCCCAGAUGAUCCGCGACGGAGAACACGACGACAUCGGGACGGAGAAACUGCGCGGACUCCUCAAGAUCCUUCCGCCCACCGACGAGGUGGAGAUGCUCCGCGCCUACGACGGCGACCGCAAUCGACUGGGCAACGCCGAGAAAUUUCUGCUGCUCCAUUUGAUGACGAUCCCCAACUACCGUCUAAGGAUCGAGUCCAUGUUGCUCAAGGAGGAGUUCAACUCUCAGAUCAACUACCUCGGACCGAGCAUCGACGCCAUGAUCAUGGCCGGUGAAAAGCUCAAGGGCAACAAACAUCUCCAAGACAUCCUCUACAUGGUCGUCGUGGCCGGAAACUUCCUGAAUUCGGGCGGCUAUGCGGGAAACGCUGGCGGAGUCAAACUGGCCUCUCUGCAGAAGCUUGCCGACAUCCGAGCCAACAAGCCGGGCAUGAAUUUGAUCCACUUUGUGGCCCUGCAGGCCGAGAAAAAGGACAAGGAAUUGCUCAAAAUGCCGGAAGAGAUGAGCGUCUUGGAAGAUGCCACCAAGACGACGGUCGAGCAAUUGCGUAACGAGGUCAACGCAUUGGACCUCCGCAUCACCAACAUCGCCAAACAGAUUGAUGCUCCCAACACGCCGCCCGAUAUCAAGAACCAGAUGGAGGAAUUCCUCCGCAGUGCCAAGGACGAAAUGGCAGACCUCCAGAAGGAUUUAUUGGAACUGGAUGAAGUGAGGACGGAGCUGGCCGAUUUCUUCUGCGAGGAUCGCGAUUCAUUUAAACUCGAAGAAUGCUUCAAACUUUUCCUAAACUUCUGCCAGCGCUUCCGGACUGGCGUUUUGGAAAAUGAACACCGACGACAACAUGAAGCUGCGGCUGAAAAUCGCCGUCGGCAACGUGAAGAGCAACUGGCCCUGAAACGCCGUCAAAGCGCCGGUGGACCGCAAGGUAGCACCGGAGACAACGAUUCCGAAAACGUCAUGGAUUCCCUCCUGCUGGACAUUCGUUGCGGCUUUCCUAUGCGCGACAAGUUCCGCAAAGGUAAGAAAGCAUCGAUCGACCCGUCCGUCGAGGAUGAUAAUGCGUCUCCUUUAGUUCUGGCCGUCGCCAGCUCUCCUCGGGUCAGCCGUAAACGGCUCGGCUCCAACACCGUCGUCACGGUGCCCAGCAGCAACGACGCCAGCCGACAAGACGACAGCCUUCUGGAGGACCUGACGCCCAACGGGAGUCUGCGACGACGUCGAAGCCGCGUACCUUCGGAGGAAGACGACACGCUGAUGGAUUACCUAAGGACGUCGGGUCACGCUGACGGGUCCCGCGAGCGCAAAUCAACCGGCAACAUACCCGACGGAUACGGAUCGCUGGAUCGUUCUUGGUAUCGUAAUCGAACCCGAGCCAGCGGCGGACCCGGCCAGAAGAAGCGGCCAGAUCUGAUGAGCGCCGACUUUACGGGAGGCGGAGGAACUUUGGCUCCGUCACCGUUGGCAGCCCCUCCACCUGUCCAAGACAACAGCGGACCGAGCACGCUGGAGCCGCUGCCGGAGACGACUCUCAUCGAGAGCCGGAGGUCACCCAGGCGAGACUGGAAGCCGCCGUUGGAGAACACGGACGUGGUCGGAGUCAUGGAAGCCAUCGAAGAUGCUUCAACUCGGGAAAAAUCGGCCUGGCAGCGAAAAUCGGCAUUGCCUGGCACUGCUAGCACGGCAACUGACAACCCCCUGGAUGGCCGAAAUCGCUUCCGCCGUAUGAGGUCACGACUUCAACCGGAAGAAACUGAUCGGCCGACAACUCCAGCAACGCCCAUAGUUCCAUCUACUCCGGUUCAACCGGAUAGUGAAGUGGAGCGGAGGAAAGCCAUGAUAGGAUCGUUGGGCAGGCAACCGACUGAAGAUAAACUGACUAUUUACAUCAAACAAGACAGUGAGCCUCAUGUCAAAGAAAUGCUGCCCACGCUGGUCGAACAGAGUCCGGUCACCACGAGACGAAGGAGCGAUCAAGGGCUGUCAACUCCGAUUGAAGGAUCGGGAACGGCUUCGCGUCUACUCAAUCGCUACCGACAACAGACGCCACUAGACGUGCCCAAUGACCUUCUGCGAACCAUUGAAGAAGUCGAUCGCACUCCCAAGAGUCCUGUCGAGACGUCGGAAACUUACGACCGGUCACCCGGUCCGUUGACCGGAACCACACCGCCCGCCACGAUCCUAUCGGCUGCUGAACGGGAGAAGAAGCGUUAUCAACGCACUAUGACUCCCAACACGUUGCGAUCAAAACUCCAGGAGAAACUGAUUAGCGGUUUCGAUACCAACGAACUGGCUGGAACAAUCGCAUCCAUUCAAAUCACGCCGGAAAAGCAGACGGCCGAAAAGAACAACAAUCCCAACACGUCGUCGUCUAAAACACCGGUAGAUGGUGACUCUAGUGGAACUGGGGAGAGCGAAACUUCGCUUCCGCCCAUUCAGCCGGGACCGCGAAAGCCGCGACGCUUGUCACGCGGAGGCCUCAGCGGAGAAGACGGACCGACGGAUAAGAUUGACAUCGAUUCGGAGAACAUUGAAACACCUCCCGUGACGAGACGCGCUUACGGAUCGCGUCCGUUCGUUGCAAGUUCCGGAACAACUUCGACUUCGACUGGCACAUCCGAAGUCUCCGGUUCGCCGUCGACCGGAACUUCGUCUUCCAAAAACGGCCGAACUUCCAUGAAAGCUGAAGACGACGAAUUGGGUGAUGGUAAUUUCGAUCGCUACUCAUCCGUCCGUCGCACCCGUCGACUCCGCAAGGCGCCAGAGGGAGCGGAAGAGGACUCUACCAGUUUGGAACCCCGUAAAUCGCCCGAAGGUGUCGAGGAUCCGGAAGACCUUUCGCAAACAGACGUCAUCGUGGGCAUGGAAGUGAAAAAGGAAGGAGAAGUGAGCACGGUUGAAGUGACGCGCCGGAUGAGCGAGGAGCGUGAUCUUCAGCCGCACGCAGGAAUCGGCAACAACAACAACAACAACAACAACCACGGAAUGGCCGUGAGUAACGAAGACAAGGAACGGCGGCUGCAGCGCUGGAAGGAUAAGUUAGGACCGCGGGACGAAGCAGAAACGGCCGUUAUGACGGCCAGCGGCGCAAGCGCCAUCAAGGUCCGCCGCGAUCGACCCUCUCGCACCAACGAAGCCGAACCACCGCAAGCAGCAGUCCAGCAGCAAGAGCCUGUCCGAUCGUUCACCGAACCAACGACAACAUCAUCGACGGAAGAUAACUGGCGCACUCGGCUGGCCAGACAAUUCCGGGCCGCUGACAAACUCGAUUCUUCUUCCAUCAAAGAAGACGAUCCGUCCACCCUGCGUGCCAAAUCCCGCUCCAGAUCUUCCAGCCCACUGAAGGAUGAGACGCAAGGCUCCCGUCUGGCCUUAUCGCAUUUGCGGGAUUCGCCGCCAAGAAAAGCCGAUUCCGUCUUUUCCAGGUUGGCACAGGGAUCCGGAAUGCGUGGAACGAGCAGUGCGGCCAACAACCGAACGUCAACUGAUACCCAGCAGCCGAAACAAAGGCGCAGCCUGUUUGGAGAUUCCACUCGUGACAGUUUCACGAAAACUUUGUCGAAGAAAUUCGAAAGCCCCGCCAAGCGGCCGGAGGAAAAUGGAACGAGUUCAUUGCUGAGACGUUCUUCAUCCAUCCGGACGGCUGAUCGUCCCCGUUCGACAUUCUUCUCUCCGAUCAGCAGCGAACCAACGGUUCCGGAAAUGAGAGAGAGGACCAUGACGUUGGGCAGGUCAUCCAGCUUCCGUGUUGGGAAUCGCACCCCAGGUGCCGGCUCGUCCACCCCGUCCACCGCCACGUCGACGACCGAAAAGAAAACAGGCUCGGGUUACACUUCGUCUCUAAUGAAUUGGCGUCCAUUCCGCAAGAGCCGCGAUGAGAAUGCCGAUCCGGAACCCUCCAGCCGGAAGUCGUCGAUGAGCUCAACCAUGACCAAUCGACCGAUCGGCGCCAGCAGCACGAGAUCGUCUAAUUUAGGAACGAGCAACAGCAGCCUGAAACGGUCCACCUCGUCCGUCGCAUCACUAACACCCCUGCGGGGAGGCGGUUAUGUCCCUGGCGGAAUGUCUUCCACUUUAUCCAGCGCCCAAAGGAACGGCCCAUCAAGUACAUCCUUGAUGCGAACAGGUUCGGUCAAAACGGCAGCUGCCCCGGUAAACGGCCGGACAACAUCAUUCCUCAAAGUGGCAGUUCCAAGUUCUCCCGCUCCGGUCCGUCGCAGCACGGGGUCCAGCUUCAUGCGACCGACCGCGUCGAGCGUGGCCAAGGAUAAAGACCUGCUCGGUCCCGUUCUGGUCAAGAGCAGCAUCCGCCCGACAGCCGCUACAACCUCCGUCGCUCAACGUCCCAAACUGUUCUGAGCUCCUCCCCCCCCUUUCUACGAUUUUUCUCUCUCUCUGUCUCUCUCUCCAUUUAAUUUAUUUUUAUUUUUUCGCCGACAUUUUCAAUUGUUCUUUCUCCGUUGCUUUUUCGGCUUUCAACUCAACAACCUUCCGACUCUCGCAACAACGGGAAAACAGCAAACUACAUUUUAAAAGUGAGAAAUUGUGCCGAGCCUCUCCCUACUCUCCUCUACCGCCUUCCACAUCCCGCCUGUGGUAAAAGAUGAUAUCCCGCAAAAAAAAGGUGCCAAUUAUUGAGUAUUCUAUCGUCUUGUAAACGCCGACAUUCGUUUAGGCGGGGUUGUAAACUCCCAACGUCCAGCGAUGUCCCGUCCGCCUCUUUUCCAUUUGAAAAUAUUAUUCAGAGCGUUCAUCAAUACGAAGCUCGCCACUUAUAUUCGCCAUGCCAUCAAGCCAUCAAACGGCGGAUUCUGCUGUCAAAAAUAACUUUUAACGGAACACAUUAAUGGGGAACAAAAAACAUUUUUUUUAUAUAAAAAAAAAUUGUGUGUGGUGUAAUAAUCUCUCCAUUUUUAAUCGUGUAAAAAUACCUUUUUUUUUGGUUUAACAAUCGGUGUGUUGAUUGGAUUCGAAAGGAAGAAAUACAUAUACUCAUUCCCGCUUGUAAAAUAAUAAAACCAACUCAUUUACAUUCAAUAAAAUUGAAAACAUUAAUACAACUACUGUUUUUUUAAAGUGGAAUCCUUUGUUUGUAUUUCCAUCCCGUUUCAUUUUGCAUACAAGCCAUAUGAAAAUAGCAAAGAAAAAAAAAAAACAUUUGAUAAAGGCACACAAUGCC